UAAGCGUCAUAUAAAACAUAAUUGUGAAUUUCUUAAUUAACAAUCAUAGCAUCACCCUGGAAAAAACAUGACCUUUUUUCCAACGAACACAGGAGAUCAUGAGAAUGAUCGUCGUGAUAGUCAUGGCUAACCAUCUAAUAAAUUACAACUUCUAAAUAUUGAAAAAAUCAAACUUUCCAGCACUUCUUGACGGGUUUUCGUGAAAGGCACGACACUGUGAGGAGGACCGAUACUAUGGGAGUAAGGGGUAAUAGUAUUUCCUACUGCUGCUCGAAGUUUAUCGAGUGAUUACAUUGAAGCCCACUGAAUAUGACAGAAGGAAACACCGAUCGUAGGAUGUCAGAAACUGAAAGUGUUCCAAUACAUAGCAGUAUGUACAGCCGUCACUCUCGAAAUCAUGUCGAAAGUGUGUCCGUGGAAGUCUGCCAUAUAAUGACCAUGCUGGGAUACGGGGAGGAGAUCAGACGGAGACGUGUUGAGAAGAACAGGGAAUGGGAUAUUCUACUGAACCCAUUUAUCGAUAAUGUUACUUUCAUCACAGCUGGCAGCAAGGCGGAGGGGCUGACCUGCAUUAAUGAAAGCGACUAUGAUUUUUUAUUCGUGCCAAACAAUGUCCUCUGUGUUGAAGCUGGAGUCGAUCUACACACCAUAUCAGACGACGUACAGGAUGGAUACACGUGUAAACCCAGGACACUGCAGGAUGUUACUAGAGAGACCUGGUUCCUCACGUCAAAAUUAUAUAAGUCAUAUUAUUAAUAUUGCUCUGUGUGAUGACGGACAUGGGAACGUUUUGCUUAGCAGUGAAUUAUUUCUGGAUGAAAUGUAAAGACUUAAAAGAGAAGAUCCAUUUGUUCCACUUGAACGCGCGGGGCCGUCACUUCCAUUUUUAUUUGAAGGUAGCCAUUCAAAAAUGUAUAUCGACAGAGUGUAUGCAGUACGCUGUCAAUGUCCCGGCAUCCUGCAGAGAUGGGCUCAACGACCUCGACAUUGGCCGCCACCGGAUGUCGUGCAGAAAGUUGUAUCAUUGGGAUCUGUUGGCAAGCUGAAAGCAAUUCAUCCGCGAUGUUUCAAGAAAGGAAUUUGAUCCACUGGUUACAUGACGCUCUGAGAACACUCAGAACGGUGAUAUUCUCUACACAGCUGACAUACUACAUGAUUCCUGAGCGAAAUCUGAUGGCAGCGUGUGGAUUGAAGGAAGUACAGCAGCGUAAAUGGGUAGCAGAUAUUACGGAUAUGAUUGACGAAGGUCCGAGAAUGAUACUGCGAUUGGGGAAGAUACGACAGGCUGUUAUCAGUUACCCAGAGCCGCUGUUGUGGUUCAGCGCGAGAAGGAUGGAGGUUGAGUUACUCCAGCUGGAGUUAAGGAAUGGCAUGCACCGUUAUGAUGGGAACAGGAAUAUCGAGAUAUGGACACGCAUGAAGCUGAUAAUAUUCGAGUUCUGUCUACAGUUCUUGAUGUUAGGCACUGUUUUUUAUCACCCGUCUGAUAUAUUAUACAGGUUGUGGAUGUAAAAAUGUAUUGAAAUAACGUUUUACUCAUAUAUGUAAACAUUUGAUUUCACCUGUUUUGCAUCAGAUUCUUGUUUGUAUUGUGUGCUAAGCUGAUGCAUGUAGAAAAGCUAGAGAAAAGCAUAGAGAUAACCGCCUCUGCUUAACUACUUUAUUAACUAAAGCAGAACAUUCAUGAACUAAAAUGAACUGUUAGUUGUCCGUGUGAUGAAGGAAAAUAAUUGCUGUAUUUGGGAAACAUUCCAUUUACAUAAAAUACUAAUUGAGUCCUUUUUCAAGCGAUGAUAUGACGAAUUAUCAUAAUCACAUAAGUUUUUACUAAUUGUGUUAACAAACAGACUGGUAUAUAAUCUCAAUUCAAUUUUGUCAGCUUGAUUUGUUAUUUAACCCGCAAAUUUUAAAGAAUAAUCUCUGCUCGUUGCUUGUUCAACUUUCAAAUAGAUCGUCUUUUGCUUCAAAAUCUUCAGAAUAUUUUUUUUUUAAUCGGAAAAGGGAAAAUCUUUUAAAUGGACUUGCUAACAGAUUUUCGUUUUUUUAUGGAAAAAUGUCAAUAAGUGAGUUUACAAAACAAACUGUUAUGUUUGUAAGUUUGUACUAGAUACAAAAUUGCAAUGACGAGGAAACUGAUAAAAUAAUAUACAAAUGACUACAUUGGAGAUCGACCUUAGGAUCACCAGAAACAAACGGUUACGCUGGCGGUCGAUAAAUGCCUACAUCAGAAUAGACAGCUACACCGCAAGACACAAAAUGAAACAAACUAAAAAUAUUUGCUUUCACUGAAAACAAUUUAAAAAUAAAUCGCAGUUUAACUUGCAUUUUAUAAGUUUCCGAUCCUGUUUGCUGGAUAUCGUGUAUGUUAACUCGUUUUUCGGACUCAAUGACACAUGUAUCACAUAGCAAAAAUAUAAUAUGUGAUAAACAUUGGUGGGAUAUUCGUCAACCCCGAUUACGCGCUUAAUUUACCUAAGGCUAGUAAGAGUUGUAGGUUGUUUCUUGACACUCGUGUGAAACAUGCUAUAUAAAUGAUAUAUACGUAGGAUUGGACUAUUUUGUUGUCAUACCAAACUUUCCUUAUGAGUGAUGUAAUACUUAUGUAUUACAUGUUUUGCACGCGCAGUAUGAACCGGUGUUAAUACACUGCAGCUUUAACCAUCUCACAGUCUGCAAUCGGUCACACGCUGUGUUUUUUAAAAUAUAGAAAUUAGAACGAAUAUGUCUUUUCAAUCCGGCUGUUCUAAGAAUGGAAUGAAUGUGCAUGGAAAUCUACAUGUUUCGCCCUUUUUCAUGUGCACGUGCAGUUCGAGAAAACGACACACGUGCAUGACACAGAAGUGUUAGAGUGUCGUAGAUGAAUAAUUGCAAAAGGAUUCGUUCCCAAAUAACAACGUGAAACUUUUCAAUUUUGAUUUUUUCAACCGCGGUCGAGAAAUAGGAUUUUUUUUUUUAAGUAUUGCGUUUACAGUGCUAUUGCUAUCAGAUGAUUGUUUUCUAUUAUUAUUUAUAUAUUCAUAUGUAUGCGUGCAUAUUUUGUUUAAUGUAGUUACUUAUUUACUAUCAAUUUAAAUACUACUUUAGUAUGUUAUCAUUAAUUUUGGGUUAUUGUUAAUACUGCAUAUAAAAUAUUUGCGGACUCAUGUGUGAAAUAAAUGUAUUGUUAAAGCAUGUUUGAAGUGAUAAUAAAAAGAACGAAACAUU